UGGUCAAGUUAUUAAGGGUGCAGGGCGGAUGCCUUGGCACUAGGAGCCGAUGAAGGACGUGAUAAGCUGCGAUAAGCUUCGGGGAGUUGCACGUAAACUUUGAUCCGAAGAUUUCCGAAUGAGGAAACUCACUUAGAGUAAUGUCUAAGUAUCAUUAAGUGAAUACAUAGCUUAAUGAGGGGAACUCAGGGAACUGAAACAUCUAAGUACCUGAAGGAAGAGAAAGAAAUUCGAUUCCGUAAGUAGCGGCGAGCGAAC
rnacentral:rRNA from 1 species